rnacentral:rRNA from 1 species
AUGGCAUGGUCUAGAUCGAGUGUUCAUGGAGAAAACCAUGGGGAAGAAGAUGCCCCGGUCACACGUGCCGAGCUGCAGCGACUCGAGAACAACUUACUCCAAGCCAUGGAAAGGAUGCUUCAUGAGCAUCCUCUAGCAGGUGGUGAUAGGGUUCGACACCGACAACACCCUAUUGAUCCACUUGAGGAAGUUGGCGAUGAGAAUUUUGUGCAUGCUGCUGUUGACGGUGACUUGGAGGAUGAUAACAACAGCCAUGGUGGACAUGUGGCUCCUGCUCAUGGGCGUGGUGCUGCUGCUCGUGGAGAGCAGCGAGGAGUACAACUUCGAGGGCGAGGCCAUGGUCCUUGA